ACAUGCGCAGGAGGCUCAAUGACAGUCGAGCUUUGGCUAAGGCUCCGGGGAAAGGGUCUAGCCAUGCUGCAUGUGACCCGGGGGGUCUGGGGGUCCAGGGUCCGAGUAUGGCCACUGUUGCCCGCGCUCCUCGGGCCCCCCCGGGCCCUCUCAUCGCUGGCAGCCAAAAUGGGGGAGUAUCGCAAGAUGUGGAACCCCAGGGAGCCCCGCGACUGGGCCCAGCAGUACCGCGAGCGCUUCAUUCCCUUCUCCAAGGAGCAGCUGCUCCGCCUCCUAAUACAGGAAUUCCACUCGAGUCCGGCAGAGAAGGCGGCUUUGGAGGCGUUCUCGGCCCACGUGGACUUCUGCACCCUGUUCCACUACCACCAAAUCCUGGCCCGGCUGCAGGUGAGGACGGGGCCCUUCCAGCCCUGUGGUGCUUGUUCGCGCAUCCGCUCAUUUAGCAAACAUUCCCUGACACCUUCUUGGAGCCUGGCCCUUAUUUUAAGUGCUGGGGAUUCAACAGUGAACAUGACAGGUGAAGUGACGCCCUCAUGGAGCCAACAUUCCAACUGGGGAGACGAGGAAUCAAAUAAAUAUAAAA
rnacentral:sRNA from 1 species